rnacentral:tRNA from 1 species
GGGCCGGUAGCGUAGAGGCUUAACGCGUCGCCCUGUCACGGCGAAGAUCACGGGUUCGAAUCCCGUCCGGCCCGCCA